GAUGAACGCUGGCGGCGUGCCUAAUACAUGCAAGUCGAGCGAACAGACGAGGAGCUUGCUCCUCUGACGUUAGCGGCGGACGGGUGAGUAACACGUGGAUAACCUACCUAUAAGACUGGGAUAACUUCGGGAAACCGGAGCUAAUACCGGAUAAUAUAUUGAACCGCAUGGUUCAAUAGUGAAAGACGGUUUUGCUGUCACUUAUAGAUGGAUCCGCGCCGCAUUAGCUAGUUGGUAAGGUAACGGCUUACCAAGGCAACGAUGCGUAGCCGACCUGAGAGGUGGGUCGGCCACACUGGAACUGCGACACGGCCCAGACCCCUACGGGAGGCAGCAGGGGGGAAUCUUCGGCAAGGGGCGAAAGCCUGACGGAGCACCGCGGGGGGAGUGAUGAAGGUCUUCGGAUCUUAAAACUGUUUUAUGGGGAAAAAACAAAUGUGUAAGAAAUUAUGCACGUCUUGACGGUACCUAAUAAGAAAGCCACGGCUAACUACGUG
rnacentral:rRNA from 1 species